UACCCGAUGGCUCAUGGUGUGCACCUGCACUACUUUGGUGAGAGCUUUUAUAAUAAGAUUAAGCAGGAGACCCUCGUUCGAUUCGGGGUCGGGUGA